GUGCUCGCUUCGGCAGCACAUAAAUUGGAACGAUAUAGAGAAGAUUAGCAUGGCUUCUGCACAAAGAUGACAGGCAAAUUCGUGAAGCAUUCUAUAUUUUA
rnacentral:snRNA from 1 species